rnacentral:rRNA from 1 species
CACGUAGGGCGCAAGCGUUGUCCGGAAUUAUUGGGCGUAAAGAGCUCGUAGGCGGUCUGUUGCGUCCGCUGUGAAAACCCGGGGCUUAACCCUGGGCUGGCAGUGGAUACGGACAGACUAGAGGUAGGUAGGGGAGAAUGGAAUUCCCGGUGUAGCGGUGAAAUGCGCAGAUAUCAGGAAGAAUAUCCGUGGCGAAGGCGGCUCUCUGGUACGGCACUGACGCUGAGACGCGAAAGCGUGGGGAGCGAACAGG